rnacentral:rRNA from 1 species
UACGGAGGGUGCAAACGUUGCUCGGAAUCAUUGGGCGUAAAGCGCACGUAGGCGGUCCAGCAAGUCGGGUGUGAAAGCCCUCGGCUUAACCGAGGAAGUGCAUUCGAAACUACUGGACUUGAGUACUGAAGAGGAUCGCGGAAUUCCUGGUGUAGCGGUGAAAUGCGCAGAUAUCAGGAGGAACACCGGUGGCGAAGGCGGAUCUCUGGGCCUUACCUGACGCUCAGGUGCGAAAGCUAGGGGAGCGAACAGG